rnacentral:rRNA from 1 species
GAUGAACGCUGGCGGCGUGCCUAAUACAUGCCAGUCGAGCGAACGGACGAGAAGCUUGCUUCUCUGAUGUUAGCGGCGGACGGGUGAGUAACACGUGGAUAACCUACCUAUAAGACUGGGAUAACUUCGGGAAACCGGGGCUAAUACCGGAUGAUAUUUUGAACCGCAUGGUUCAAAAGUGAAAGACGGUCUUGCUGUCACUUAUAGAUGGAUCCGCGCUGCAUUAGCUAGUUGGUAAGGUAACGGCUUACCAAGGCAACGAUGCAUAGCCGACCUGAGAGGGUGAUCGGCCACACUGGAACUGAGACACGGUCCAGACUCCUACGGGAGGCAGCAGUAGGGAAUCUUCCGCAAUGGGCGAAAGCCUGACGGAGCAACGCCGCGUGAGUGAUGAAGGUCUUCGGAUCGUAAAACUCUGUUAUUAGGGAAGAACAUAUGUGUAAGUAACUGUGCACAUCUUGACGGUACCUAAUCAGAAAGCCACGGCUAACUACGUG